ACGGGUGAGUAAUGCCUAGGAAUCAGCCUAGUAGUGGGGGACAACGUUUCGAAAGGAACGCUAAUACCGCAUACGUCCUACGGGAGAAAGUGGGGGAUCUUCGGACCUCACGCUAUUAGAUGAGCCUAGGUCGGAUUAGCUAGUUGGUAGGGUAAAGGCCUACCAAGGCGACGAUCCGUAACUGGUCUGAGAGGAUGAUCAGUCACACUGGAACUGAGACACGGUCCAGACUCCUACGGGAGGCAGCAGUGGGGAAUAUUGGACAAUGGGCGAAAGCCUGAUCCAGCCAUGCCGCGUGUGUGAAGAAGGCCUUCGGGUCGUAAAGCACUUUAAGUUGGGAGGAAGGGCUUACAGCGAAUACCUGUGAGUUUUGACGUUACCGACAGAAUAAGCACCGGCUAACUUCGUGCCAGCAGCCGCGGUAUACGAAGGGUGCAAGCGUUAAUCGGAAUUACUGGGCGUGAAGCGCGCGUAGGUGGCUUGAUAAGUUGGAUGUGAAAUCCCCGGGCUCAACCUGGGAACUGCAUCCAAAACUGUCUGGCUAGAGUGUGGUAGAGGGUAGUGGAAUUUCCAGUGUAGCGGUGA
rnacentral:rRNA from 1 species